UGGGUUACAGUCAUUACUAUGCGUUUUAUAUAAGGUUUUAUCGGUUUAUAUUACAAUGCAACACUCGUCGAGUGAUCACAGACAAACUAUUAUCAGAACACAGUACAUAUUUCAAUAUGCCUUUGGGAUUCAUAAUUAUCACUGGUCUUCUCGCUUUUGGUGCUUAUUGGACUACAAAAUACUUAAUGAAUUCAGCUGAAUCAACAACAACACCAACUUUCGAUAUCUACACGACCACGGCUCUUCCAAGGCUAUAAAGAUGAUUCGUUUUAUUAUACAACUCUUAAUAUACAUUUAUAUUAAUUUUUUUCUGUAUAUAAUUGUCAUAGUAGAAUAUACAUAAGUAUUUGUUCCUAAAGGGAGUGAUUUCAGUGCAAUUUGUAAAAAUGCGCAAGGUUAUGUUUGUCGGUAACGAUUGUAAAGUUUUGUAACAAUAAACCAGCUUAUCUAAAAA